rnacentral:rRNA from 1 species
GACGAACGCUGGCGGCGUGCCUAAUACAUGCAAGUAGAACGCUGAAGAGAGGAGCUUGCUCUUCUUGGAUGAGUUGCGAACGGGUGAGUAACGCGUGGGUAACCUGCCUUGUAGCGGGGGAUAACUAUUGGAAACGAUAGCUAAUACCGCAUAACAAUGGAUGACACAUGUCAUUUAUUUGAAAGGGGCAAUUGCUCCACUACAAGAUGGACCUGCGUUGUAUUAGCUAGUAGGUGAGGUAAUGGCUCACCUAGGCGACGAUACAUAGCCGACCUGAGAGGGUGAUCGGCCACACUGGGACUGAGACACGGCCCAGACUCCUACGGGAGGCAGCAGUAGGGAAUCUUCGGCAAUGGGGGCAACCCUGACCGAGCAACGCCGCGUGAGUGAAGAAGGUUGUCGGAUCGUAAAGCUCUGUUGUAAGUCAAGAACGGGUGUGAGAGUGGAAAGUUCACACUGUGACGGUAGCUUACCAGAAAGGGACGGCUAACUACGUG